GGAUUUUCGAAAUAAUUUUACCUAAGGCUCUUCCUGCACCUUUAGCCAGAGUCUCUGCAUGUAAAUUAAAGUUACCUUUACAGUUAAAAGUUACACCUAAGUAUUUGUAAUCGUCCACUGUUUUUAACGCAUUAUUGCUGAUUGAAAAGUUAAAUUCACUCUGCUUUUUACGUCCUUUACGAAAGUGCACGCACUUAGAUUUGUCCGUGUUGAUCAGAACCCUCCAACGUUUACACCA
rnacentral:lncRNA from 1 species